rnacentral:lncRNA from 1 species
UAUGACGAGAGUUUAAAAUCCUACCACAGCCAUAUAUACAUGCUUAUUAGACUAUGAACCAUACAUUUACUUUUUACUGCUUAUGAGCAUUGAGUGUGGUCAAGCUGUGUAGACCCAUAGGAGCUUGUCAUGCAGUUAAAAUCAAGAUUCACUUGCAUGUUCACUCAUACAUGCUAAUUCUACUCCGGAAGUACGCAUCCACAUACAUCCACUCAAUUCCAUCUCUAGAUUCACCUAAAAUUAUUCCACUCCUAUCCAGGAGAGAAUAGCCAAAAACAUUAUCCUAUCCCUAUUAUUCCCCAUGAAAUAAAUGCUCAAGAUAUUUUGGUUACUACCACUUGCUACAUUAUUCUAGGAGGGUGAGUGCUCUGAAAAAAAAAAGGUGAAUACGAGGAAAUAAAAAGAGGCAAGUGCCCGGAACCUCGAAGAAAAGAAAAAGUGAGACGAGAGGUAAAAAUGGACAAGUGUCCGAGAGUAGAAUUUGGGGUACAAGAUACCCACCUGAGAGAAAAGAAAAAUAAAAUAUAGAGCAUCUCAUUCCCCUCAAAAGCCUCAAGUGCAAGGAAGGUAUGUACCCCCUCAAAAGAGCAAAAGUAGAAUUAGACUUUCACCAUUAUUUUCACCAUUAUCACCAUUCAUUCGCCACACAUGCACAUCUUGAUUUGACUUAUUGACUUGUUCUUCUAGAUCCAUGGUUUGACUAUGCAAUAAAUGUCUUGUAAGUAUGUAUUAGCUGUCCCCCACCUAUGAGCUCUAGAUAUCAAAACUUUAUUAGAGUAGGGUGAGAGAGAAGACAAUGUCACUAUGCCUCAUACCACAAAUACCACUGUAACACCC